rnacentral:rRNA from 1 species
GAUGAACGCUGGCGGCGUGCCUAAUACAUGCAAGUCGAGCGAACAGAUGAGGAGCUUGCUCCUCUGACGUUAGCGGCGGACGGGUGAGUAACACGUGGAUAACCUACCUAUAAGACUUGGAUAACUUCGGGAAACCGGAGCUAAUACCGGAUAAUAUAUUGAACCGCAUGGUUCAAUAGUGAAAGACGGUUUUGCUGUCACUUAUAGAUGGAUCCGCGCCGCAUUAGCUAGUUGGUAAGGUAACGGCUUACCAAGGCAACGAUGCGUAGCCGACCUGAGAGGGUGAUCGGCCACACUGGAACUGAGACACGGUCCAGACUCCUACGGGAGGCAGCAGUAGGGAAUCUUCCGCAAUGGGCGAAAGCCUGACGGAGCAACGCCGCGUGAGUGAUGAAGGUCUUCGGAUCGUAAAACUCUGUUAUUAGGGAAGAACAAAUGUGUAAGUAACUAUGCACGUCUUGACGGUACCUAAUCAGAAAGCCACGGCUAACUACGUG